UGACUGAGUGGCGGACGGGUGAGUAACGCGUGGGUAACCUGCCUCAUACAGGGGGAUAACAGUUGGAAACGACUGCUAAUACCGCAUAAGCGCACAGGGUCGCAUGACCUGGUGUGAAAAACUCCGGUGGUAUGAGAUGGACCCGCGUCUGAUUAGCCAGUUGGUGGGGUAACGGCCUACCAAAGCGACGAUCAGUAGCCGACCUGAGAGGGUGACCGGCCACAUUGGGACUGAGACACGGCCCAAACUCC
rnacentral:rRNA from 1 species